rnacentral:rRNA from 1 species
GAUGAACGUUGGCGGCGUGCUUAACACAUGCAAGUCGAACGGAAAGGCUCCUGCUUGCAGGGGUACUCGAGUGGCGAACGGGUGAGUAACACGUGGGUGAUCUGCCCUGCACUUCGGGAUAAGCCUGGGAAACUGGGUCUAAUACCGGAUAGGACCACAUUUUGGAUGGUGUGGUGGAAAGUUUUUCGGUGUGGGAUGAGCUCGCGGCCUAUCAGCUUGUUGGUGGGGUAAUGGCCUACCAAGGCGUCGACGGGUAGCCGGCCUGAGAGGGUGUACGGCCACAUUGGGACUGAGAUACGGCCCAGACUCCUACGGGAGGCAGCAGUGGGGAAUAUUGCACAAUGGGCGCAAGCCUGAUGCAGCGACGCCGCGUGGGGGAUGACGGCCUUCGGGUUGUAAACUCCUUUCGCUAGGGACGAAGCGCAAGUGACGGUACCUGGAGAAGAAGCACCGGCUAACUACGUG